UUUUUUUGCGAGAGUCAUGAACCUAGACUCAUUUCAUCACCACAUACGAAUCAAAUUAUAAUUCAUUGCCAUAACUUACGAUACCUAUGAAGGCUAUAUAAAGGAGACCUCCAUCACGGUUUUAACCCACACGACUGAUCUCGACAUACCUCUCUCUCACUAUAACACCAUCACCGGAGUUUGUAACCUACCGGAGACUCGAAGACACGCCGACGAUAACUCGCAUCACGUGGGAGGAUCCAGACUUCGCCUGAAUCGUCAGAAAUACUCGCCCGGGGACUCGACUCAACUCAUUCGGUGAACAGGUACGAAGAGAAGAUUUGGACAUAGGAUGGGCCUUAGUUAACAAGAAAUGGAUUAGUGUAGUUAUGAACAAUGUCUUGUGUUGUAAUUGUUUAUUUGAAUUAUUUGUUUCGUGAAACAUUUGUUAUGAAUUAAUGAUUAUUUAAAACA